rnacentral:tRNA from 1 species
GCCUUAAUAGUUUAUAUAAAACUCCGGUCUUGUAAACCGGGAAAAAAUUAAUUUUUUUAGGGUA